rnacentral:rRNA from 1 species
GAUGAACGCUAGCGGCAGGCCUAACACAUGCAAGUCGAGGGAGAAGCCCUUCGGGGCAGAAACCGGCGCACGGGUGCGUAACGCGUAUGCAACCUACCUUUCACAGGGGGAUAGCCCGAAGAAAUUUGGAUUAAUACCCCAUAAUAUUAUUGGAUGGCAUCAUUUGAUAAUUAAAAUUACGAUGGUGAAAGAUGGGCAUGCGUCCUAUUAGCUAGUUGGAGUGGUAACGGCACCCCAAGGCUACGAUAGGUAGGGGUCCUGAGAGGGAGAUCCCCCACACUGGUACUGAGACAGGGACCAGACUCCUACGGGAGGCAGCAGUGAGGAAUAUUGGUCAAUGGUCGGAAGACUGAACCAGCCAUGCCGCGUGCAGGAAGAAUGCCUUAUGGGUUGUAAACUGCUUUUAUAUGGGAAGAAUAAGGAGUACGUGUACUUGAUGACGGUACC